rnacentral:tRNA from 1 species
GGGGUAUGUAAGCUCUGGGGAGUGAUGGACCCUUGCAAGGUCCUCGUGGUGGGUUCGAUUCCCACAUGCUCCA